AGCAUCAUGGAGGCGCAGGUCAACAGCCACGUAAUCGCCCACAGCUGUUGUGUUCGUAAACGGCUUGACCUGGGAGCGGUAACAGCAGCAGUAAAAGGGUGAGAAAAUCGAUAGGCGCAUAGCGCAGUCGUUGAUUUAUCCGGUGACUGGCAUUUUAACGUGCAGUAGUGGACUCUGGUUGCAUAGCUAAUUGACUGUAAUUGCCCGUACGCAUUAUCACAUUUUUCCGAUAAUAAGCAACCCUAUCCAUACCUGCAGGCUGCAGUUCGACGGGUGGGGCAAUCCAGGGUAUAUGCUGACAGUGCUGCCAUUUCCCUGGACCGCUGGCGCCAUGGACAGGUUGCCGUUGUAGUAGACGAACAGCGUAUAGUUGCCAGCCUAUAUUCAACAGGAGGCACCGGUACACCGACAGACACGGCAGCAGUAGUUGUAACAAGAGAGAGUGAAAGCCAAACCAGAGCCGUAUCAGAGAUGUCAUCCCACAGUCAAGAAGAGCCACUAAUCGACCUAAAUUCGCUGCAGAUCCUAGCUUCCGUGCUGCACAAACCCGUCAUCAGGCAACAUGCAAGAUAGCCCCCAUAGCCUCCAGUGUAUGGCUUGUCUCCAGCGCUGCACCCUCAUGCGAUCGAGUACUCACCUC
rnacentral:lncRNA from 1 species